GCUCUGAUGGCCGAGUGGCGAAGGUGUUGGACUCAAAAUUCAAGAGGGUUUCCCUGUGCAGGUUCAAAUCCUGCUCACAGCA